CCUACGGGAGGCAGCAGUGGGGAAUAUUGGGCAAUGGGCGCAAGCCUGACCCAGCAACGCCGCGUGAAGGAAGAAGGCUUUCGGGUUGUAAACUUCUUUUCUCAGGGACGAAGCAAGUGACGGUACCUGAGGAAUAAGCCACGGCUAACUACGUGCCAGCAGCCGCGGUAAUACGUAGGUGGCAAGCGUUAUCCGGAUUUACUGGGUGUAAAGGGCGUGUAGGCGGGAAAGCAAGUCAGAUGUGAAAACCAUGGGCUCAACCUGUGGCUUGCAUUUGACACUGUUUUUCUUGAGUACUGGAGAGGCAGACGGAAUUCCUGGUGUAGCGGUGAAAUGCGUAGAUAUUAGGAGGAACACCAGUGGCGAAGGCGGCUUACUGGACUGUAACUGACGUUGAGGCUCGAAAGCGUGGGGAGCAAACAGGAUUAGAUACCCCGGUAGUC
rnacentral:rRNA from 1 species